AGCGAACGCUGGCGGCAGGCUUAACACAUGCAAGUCGAACGGGCACUUCGGUGUCAGUGGCAGACGGGUGAGUAACGCGUGGGAACAUACCUCUUGGUUCGGAACAACACAGGGAAACUUGUGCUAAUACCGGAUAAGCCCUUACGGGGAAAGAUUUAUCGCCGAGAGAUUGGCCCGCGUCUGAUUAGCUAGUUGGUGUGGUAAAAGCGCACCAAGGCGACGAUCAGUAGCUGGCUGAGAGGAUGAUCAGCCACAUUGGGACUGAGACACGGCCCAAACUCCUACGGGAGGCAGCAGUGGGAAUAUUGGACAAUGGGCGCAAGCCUGAUCCAGCCAUGCCGCGUGAGUGAUGAAGGCCCUAGGGUUGUAAAGCUCUUUUGUACGGGAAGAUAAUGACGGUACCGUAAGAAUAAGCCCCGGCUAACUUCGUGCCAGCAGCCGCGGUAAC
rnacentral:rRNA from 1 species